AACGAACGCUGGCGGCAGGCCUAACACAUGCAAGUCGAGCGAGGACCUCGGUCCUAGCGGCGGACGGGUGAGUAACGCGUGGGAACGUGCCCUUUGCUUCGGAAUAGCCCUGGGAAACUGGGAGUAAUACCGGAUGAGCCCUUUGGGGGAAAGAUUUAUCGGCGAAGGAUCGGCCCGCGUUGGAUUAGGUAGUUGGUGGGGUAAUGGCCUACCAAGCCGACGAUCCAUAGCUGGUUUGAGAGGAUGAUCAGCCACACUGGGACUGAGACACGGCCCAGACUCCUACGGGAGGCAGCAGUGGGGAAUCUUAGACAAUGGGGGAAACCCUGAUCUAGCCAUGCCGCGUGAGCGAUGAAGGCCUUAGGGUUGUAAAGCUCUUUCAGCUGGGAAGAUAAUGACGGUACCAGCAGAAGAAGCCCCGGCUAACUCCGUG
rnacentral:rRNA from 1 species